UACGGAGGGGGCUAGCGUUGUUCGGAAUUACUGGGCGUAAAGCGCACGUAGGCGGCUUUGUAAGUUAGAGGUGAAAAGCCCGGGGCUCAACUCCGGAAUUGCCUUUAAGACUGCAUCGCUCGAAUUGUGGAGAGGUAAGUGGAAUUCCGAGUGUAGAGGUGAAAUUCGUAGAUAUUCGGAAGGAACACCAGUGGCGAAAGCGGCUUCCUGGUCCAGCACCGACGUUCAGGCACGAAAGCGUGGGGAGCAAACAGG
rnacentral:rRNA from 1 species